GGAUCUUCGGACCUUGCGCUAAUAGAUGAGCCUAAGUCGGAUUAGCUAGUUGGUGGGGUAAAGGCCUACCAAGGCGACGAUCUGUAGCGGGUCUGAGAGGAUGAUCCGCCACACUGGGACUGAGACACGGCCCAGACUCCUACGGGAGGCAGCAGUGGGGAAUAUUGGACAAUGGGGGGAACCCUGAUCCAGCCAUGCCGCGUGUGUGAAGAAGGCCUUAUGGUUGUAAAGCACUUUAAGCGAGGAGGAGGCUACUUUAGUUAAUACCUAGAGAUAGUGGACGUUACUCGCAGAAUAAGCACCGGCUAACUCUGUGCCAGCAGCCGCGGUAAUACAGAGGGUGCGAGCGUUAAUCGGAUUUACUGGGCGUAAAGCGUGCGUAGGCGGCUUAUUAAGUCGGAUGUGAAAUCCCCGAGCUUAACUUGGGAAUUGCAUUCGAUACUGGUGAGCUAGAGUAUGGGAGAGGAUGGUAGAAUUCCAGGUGUAGCGGUGAAAUGCGUAGAGAUCUGGAGGAAUACCGAUGGCGAAGGCAGCCAUCUGGCCUAAUACUGACGCUGAGGUACGAAAGCAUGGGGAGCAAACAGGAUUAGAUACCCUGGUAGUCCAUGCCGUAAACGAUGUCUACUAGCCGUUGGGGCCUUUGAGGCUUUAGUGGCGCAGCUAACGCGAUAAGUAGACCGCCUGGGG
rnacentral:rRNA from 1 species